rnacentral:rRNA from 1 species
GGCUCUUUGUCAAAAUAUAAAUAAAGAGUCGGACCUGCCCGGUGAAAUAUUUUUAACGGCCGCGGUACUCUGACCGUGCAAAGGUAGCAUAAUCAUUUGCCUUAUAAUUGAAGGCUUGUAUGAAUGGUUUGACAAGAAUGAAUCUGUCUCUUUAUAAUUAAAUAUAAUUUUAUUUACAGGUGAAGAAGCCUGUAUUAAAUUGAAAGACAAGAAGACCCUAUCGAGCUUUAAAGCAAUUAAUAAAAUUAAAAUCAUAUUUAUAUCGAAUUAGUUAUUAAAAAUUUUAGUUGGGGCGACGAAGGAACAAAUAAAGCUUCCUUAAUAUUCUAUACAAGCAAGUUAUGAUCCAUUCAUUUUGAUUAAAGGAAUUAGUUACCGUAGGGAUAACAGCAUUAUCUUUUUUAAGAGCUCAAAUCGAAAAAAAGGUUUGUGACCUCGAUGUUGGACCAGAAUAUCCUAAAGAUGCAGCCGUCUUUAAGGGUUGGUCUGUUCGACCAUUAAAAUUCU